rfam:Beta vulgaris subsp. vulgaris chromosome 7, whole genome shotgun sequence.
AGUAGCAGUGAUGAGUCAAUACAGACCUGUAAUGAUUUGCGGAUAUGAUCGCAAUUCAUUAAUGAACAUCUAAGGGACUGAGCUCUU